UUCAGACUUAAUAUUUUCCAGUCCGUUGUGUGAGCCUGGAAUGGAUAUUUCUUCGAUAUAUUUUUUUAAUUGAGCAAAAAAUUUCCCACCCACACCCGGCGCCUGGACGACUCUCUCAAUUAAUUUUAAUGACUAAAUUGUGUGAUUGAUGAACCACAAGUUGAGUAACAUGGGCACAGAAUUAAUUCUACGACGAGGACGGGUUUGAAUCCACUUCUUGGCGACGACGGCGACACCGACGACCACGCCAAACUGAGUGAGCAAUUAACUAAUUAUUCUUCUUUUUCUUCCUUCCUAGCAGCAGCUGUUCAUUAUUUUCUUCCGCGGGGUCAAAUUUUUAACAAAUAACAACAGUCUCGUAGCCACCCGGCCCGGGUAAUUUGGCAAUUUAACUCCUAAUUAAUCAACAAUUAACGUGAAUAAUUAACUCUUUCAGGUGGACGAGACCCAAAUACAACAAUACAAUAUAACAACAAUAGCCAGCCCGGAAUUUAAAAGUGAAAGUUUCUCCUCACACUGAAUAAUAACGACUAAACGACCAUCUUUUUUGAAUAACAAUGAUUAUCUUCUUAGUUAUUAGCUAACUGUAGUAGCGACACAGACGACGAGACAACCACCAACCAACUAGUAACUUCCGCCUCCUAAGAUUUAGUUAGAUUUCACUUUUUUACAAUCCUCUCCUCCUCCUCCUUGUUUCGAAAUCCGUCCAAUUUCAAAACUUGAACCGUGUAAUUUUCCACUCUAGAUAUUUUUUUUUCAAGAAACUUUCAAACCGUCUCUCUCUCUCGUAACAAUUUUAACAAGUAACUAAAUGUCCAAUUUUUUCAAUUUAUUUAGGCUGCGUUGCAGCCUGGCCUGAACUUGGCCGAGAUUAUAACAAACAAGAAAAGUGGAAUGUCUAGAUUUUAUUUAAUGUGGUUAGUUAAGUUACCACAUACACAUACACACACACAUCAAGUAGUUAACUUUAACUAAAGGUAGUAGCUCUUACUAAUUUUCUAUGAAAUUUCAGACAGAGAGAAACAGAGAGAUUCGUCGUCCAUCCAACUCUUGACGAAGACUGACUACCAAAAAGUUUUGCAUCGACGAGAAGAGCAUCAAAACUGAGAGGAAUAUUGUAUUUACGUGUCCACUUUACUUUACUUAAAGGUAGCCAUUAACUAUUCGGUAUGUGUAAUGGAAAUGAAAUGCAGGAGAGGAUUGGAUAAGUUGAGUAGUUGUGGAAGUACCCAUCACGAACGACCAACGAUCACACCAUAAAUAUGACCAACCAACCAUUACUUUACUUACGCCUGACGCGAGGUAAAUGCAGUGCUAUAAGUAUACUAUAUUUUGUUUGAUGGAUUUCUUAACUGACAAGUAACGAGCUGACCUGCAUUAUAUUUACAUAUGUGGAAUGAAAAUGAGACGUGGCUACAAUUUCGCUAAUUUUGUUAAGUAUUUUAUUUAUGUCGUAUUUUUCUUCUGAAUGAAAUUACUCCUGGUUUUAAACGAGCUUUUUGUUACAGAAAUACAGACAAUCGACUCAUUUACAUGGACGAAGGCAAACAAAUUGUGCUAAUUUUUCCCACAAAUUCUAUGUACAUACGUAUUUCCUCACCAAUACAAAAACCAGAAACGUAACGUCCAACGUGACGAAGGAUUUCUUUUGUGGAAUUGAAAUCUCUUCAAAUUUUUACUUUGUUCAAUUUGAUUCAUGAAAUGAAAAUAUUACCAAAUUUCUAUCCAUUUAAGAAUCAAGAUCUGGUGGAAAAUCGUCUCGGGGGACGUGCAUGAUCAAUAAAAUAUUACCAAAUUUUCAUUUAAAAAUGAA